ACCGUGGACUCUUCUUCCCAGCCUUUUCCUUCAAGCUGGAGGCCCGGAAGUGUGCAGAGGACAGUGAGGGGCCUCAAGUGUGGACAUCACAUGAGUACUGAAGAAGGACCCCUAGGGCUUCCGUGAAAAGAGGCCUCCAAUUGCAAAGCUGCUUUCUAUCAGACGAGGUCACGGACAGUAGUGAGGAGUGGCAGGCGGGAGGGGUGCCUGGCUGCCGGCCCACCCCACCCAGGACGAGGCAGCCCUCAGCGGAAUGGAAGACUCUGUGGCCAGUGCUCUUUGGGGCCUUGGCACCAGGUCCUCAGCAGCUGGGCCAGCCCUGCUACUCCCUCAUCCUGGAAGAGCCCCAGAGAAUAGGGGCCAUGCCCAUGCCCGCUGUGUCCCCUGCACCCCACGCAGGCUGGGGCACAGCA
rnacentral:lncRNA from 10 species